UACGAAGGGGGCUAGCGUUGCUCGGAAUCACUGGGCGUAAAGCGCACGUAGGCGGACUCUUAAGUCGGUGGUGAAAUCCUGGAGCUCAACUCCAGAACUGCCUUCGAUACUGGGAGUCUCGAGUCCGGGAGAGGUGAGUGGAACUGCGAGUGUAAGAGGUGAAAUUCGUAGAUAUUCGCAAGAACACCAGUGGCGAAGGCGGCUCACUGGCCCGGUACUGACGCUGAGGUGCGAAAGCGUGGGGAGCAAACAGG
rnacentral:rRNA from 1 species